rnacentral:rRNA from 1 species
UACGUAGGUCCCGAGCGUUGUCCGGAUUUAUUGGGCGUAAAGCGAGCGCAGUUGGUUUAUUAAGUCUGGUGUAAAAGGCAGUGGCUCAACCAUUGUAUGCAUUGGAAACUGGUAGACUUGAGUGCAGGAGAGGAGAGUGGAAUUCCAUGUGUAGCGGUGAAAUGCGUAGAUAUAUGGAGGAACACUGGUGGCGAAAGCGGCUCUCUGGCCUGUAACUGACACUGAGGCUCGAAAGCGUGGGGAGCAAACAGG